UGAAAAAAGAAAAAAGAAAAUGGAACGAUCAGAGAGUAAUAACACAAUAAGUUACUAAGGGGAAAAGGGGAUCAAUAGUUGAUACGUUCAAGUACAUAUAUAAUUUGUAGGAAGAUGCAUCUGCAUAUAAAAUUAAACAUAUUCUUGAGCCAAUUAUCUUGUUGAAUCUAUUUUCCUUGAAUUGAGAACAAGUCCAAUCUUUUCUAUUACAAAUCAUGGCUAAAUUAUUCAUGACCAUUUUGUCUAAUGAAGGAGACAUCUGUGAUGGUGUUAUUACUAUACAAUCCAGAGUUUGGUAAUCAACCAUGAGGCGCUGGAAUAGCAGGUGGCUUUGGUACGUCAAUGGAUGGUAGCAGUUUCCUUAUGUUUAAGUUCCUUGCUUGAUUAUUAGUCUUCCUGUACUCCAUUUCAUGAUUCCCAGUGCUCUUCAAUUCUGAAAGCACAAAGAAAAUCGAUCAAUAUCAGUCAUGCAUGCUUGUUUAGACAUGAUCAUAGAGAGAGAGAGAGAGAGAGAGAGAGAGAGAGAGAGAGAGAGAGAGAGAGAGAGAGAGAGAGUACCUCUAGCAAAAGCUAUGUCUGAUGAAAAAACUAGCAAAAGGAUGAAGGGAAUCAUGUAAACAGCGGAGCCUGCUUUGCGGUGAACCAUUUUAUUUUAUAGGAAACGAGUUAAUUAGUUGCAACUAUCUACUUCUGCUACUCCUUUCCUCUUUAUAUAUACAGGAUCGAUACAGCUACGUACUAAUUGUAUUGAUUUG
rnacentral:lncRNA from 1 species